UACGGGGGGAGCAAGCGUUGUUCGGAUUUACUGGGCGUAAAGGGCGCGUAGGUGGCGGCCCAAGUCCAUGGUGAAAGCUCGAUGCUCAACAUCGAGUCGGCCACGGAUACUGGGUUGCUCGAGCACUGUAGGGGCAGAUGGAAUUCCGGGUGUAGCGGUGGAAUGCGUAGAGAUCCGGAAGAACACCGGUGGCGAAGGCGGUCUGCUGGGCAGUUGCUGACACUGAGGCGCGACAGCGUGGGGAGCAAACAGG
rnacentral:rRNA from 1 species